GGGGGACGAGUGGGGGACGGGGGAGUAAUGUGUGGGGAUCUGCCCGAUAGAGGGGGAUAACCACUGGAAACGGGGGGUAAUACCGCAUAACGCCGCAAGACCAAAGAGGGGGACCUUCGGGCCUCUCUCUAUCGGAUGAUACCCAGAUGGGAUUAGAUAGUAGCGCGGGGUAAUGGGCCACCUAGUGCGACAAUCCCUAGACUUGGGCUGAGAGGAUGACCAGCCACACUGGAACUGAGACACGGCUGCCAGACUCCUACAGGAGGGAGAAGUGGGGAAUAUUGCACAAUGGGGGCAAGCCUGAUGCAGACAUGCCGCGUGUAUGAAAAAAGCCUUCGGGGUGUAAAGUACUUUCAGCGGGGAGGAAGGGGGGGCGGGUAAUAACCGCACCGAUUGACGCUACCCGCAGAAAAAACACCGGGUAACUCCGCGCCAGAAGACGCGGGAAUACAGAGGGUGCAAGCGUUAAUCGGAAUUACUGGGCGUAAAGCGCACGCAGGCGGGCUGUGAAAUCAGAUGUGAAAUCCCCGGGCU
rnacentral:rRNA from 1 species